rnacentral:rRNA from 1 species
UACGUAGGUGGCAAGCGUUGUCCGGAAUUAUUGGGCGUAAAGCGCGCGCAGGCGGUCCUUUAAGUCUGAUGUGAAAGCCCACGGCUCAACCGUGGAGGGUCAUUGGAAACUGGGGGACUUGAGUACAGAAGAGGAAAGCGGAAUUCCACGUGUAGCGGUGAAAUGCGUAGAGAUGUGGAGGAACACCAGUGGCGAAGGCGGCGACCUGGACCGGUACUGACGCUGAGACGCGAAAGCGUGGGGAGCAAACAGG